UAGGGAAUCUUCCGCAAUGGACGAAAGUCUGACGGAGCAACGCCGCGUGAGUGAUGAAGGUUUUCGGAUCGUAAAGCUCUGUUGCCAGGGAAGAACGGCCGGAAGAGGAAAUGCUUUCGGUUUGACGGUACCUGAGAAGAAAGCCCCGGCUAACUACGUGCCAGCAGCCGCGGUAAUACGUAGGGGGCAAGCGUUGUCCGGAAUUAUUGGGCGUAAAGCGCGCGCAGGCGGUCUUUUAAGUUAGGUGUUUCAGUCUAGGGCUCAACCUUAGGUCGCAUCUAAAACUGGGAGACUAGAGUGUAGGAGAGGAAAGUGGAAUUCCACGUGUAGCGGUGAAAUGCGUAGAGAUGUGGAGGAACACCAGUGGCGAAGGCGACUUUCUGGCCUAUAACUGACGCUG
rnacentral:rRNA from 1 species